rnacentral:misc_RNA from 1 species
GAUGAAGAACGUAGCAAAAUGCGAUAAGUAAUGUGAAUUGCAGAAUUCAGUGAAUCAUCGAAUCUUUGAACGCACAUUGCGCCCGCUGGUAUUCCGGCGGGCAUGCCUGUUCGAGCGUCAUUUCAAUCCUCAAGCCCCCGGGUUUGGUGUUGGGGAUCGGCUCUGCCCUUCUGGGCGGUGCCGCCCCCGAAAUACAUUGGCGGUCUCGCUGCAGCCUCCAUUGCGUAGUAGCUAACACCUCGCAACUGGAACGCGGCGCGGCCAUGCCGUAAAACCCCAACUUCUGAAUGUUGACCUCGGAUCAGGUAGGAAUACCCGCUGAACUUAAGCAUAUCAAUAAGCGGAGGA